rnacentral:miRNA from 1 species
CUGAUUUCCAGUGGUGGAUAGA